rnacentral:rRNA from 1 species
AACAGGAUUAGAUACCCUGGUAGUCCACGCCCUAAACGAUGCGAACUGGAUGUUGGGUGCAACUUGGCACGCAGUAUCGAAGCUAACGCGUUAAGUUCGCCGCCUGGGGAGUACGGUCGCAAGACUGAAACUCAAAGGAAUUGACGGGGGCCCGCACAAGCGGUGGAGUAUGUGGUUUAAUUCGAUGCAACGCGAAGAACCUUACCUGGUCUUGACAUCCACGGAACUCGGCAGAGAUGCCUUAGUGCCUUCGGGAACCGUGAGACAGGUGCUGCAUGGCUGUCGUCAGCUCGUGUUGUGAAAUGUUGGGUUAAGUCCCGCAACGAGCGCAACCCUUAUCCUUUGUUGCCAGCGAUUCGGUCGGGAACUCAAAGGAGACUGCCGGUGAUAAACCGGAGGAAGGUGGGGAUGACGUCAAGUCAUCAUGGCCCUUACGAGUAGGGCUACACACGUGCUACAAUGGCGCAUACAAAGAGAAGCGACCUCGCGAGAGCAAGCGGACCUCAUAAAGUGCGUCGUAGUCCGGAUCGGAGUCUGCAACUCGACUCCGUGAAGUCGGAAUCGCUAGUAAUCGUGGAUCAGAAUGCCACGGUGAAUACGUUCCCGGGCCUUGUACACACCGCCCGUCACACCAUGGGAGUGGGUUGCAAAAGAAGUAGGUAGCUUAACCUCCGGGAGGGCGCUUACCACUUUGUGAUUCAUGACUGGGGUGAAGUCGUAACAAGGUA